GAUAAGAUGCCUGAUAAAAGGAUUAUUUUGAUGUAAUAAAUCAUGUAUUUGUUAACAAUACCCUUAUAA
rnacentral:tRNA from 1 species